GUGCGGGACCCCCGGGCGGAGCGGGCGCUGGGCACGGGGAGCGGUGCGGGACCCCCGGGGCAAAGUGGGCACUGGGCACAGGGAACGGUGCGGGACCCCCGGGGCAGCACGGGCCAGGGGUGGCCGGGGGCCGCAGCACCCCCGCAAUGAGGCCCACUGCCCCCGCAGAGUCCCCGGGCCGGGGAAGGGGGGUGUAAGGAGGGUGCGGGGGCUGCAGGGGUUGCAUUGUCAGGCGCAGGAGCUGCUCCUCCAGAUGCAUCACUGUGAGCAAGGGCUGUGUGCUGCGGGGUCCGAUGUGCCUCUGGUGCCUUAAAAUAAGGAAAACAGGGACUUGGUACAGUCAGCAAUGACCAGGGGCUGUUUUCCAGGUGCCUUUCUACCCAGAGCUCUAAACCCAAGACCUUAAAGGAAAAAAAAAAAAAAAAAGACCUCAAAAUCCUCAAGAUUUCAACAAAUCGAUGAUCCAGUUCUAGAAACUCGAAACUCUGAAACCAGGACCCUGAUCAUGGAAUUAUUCAGCUUGGAAAGGACCUCCAAGAUCAUGAAGUCCAGCCUGUGACUGGAUCCUACCAUGCCCACUAAACCAGACCACAAAGUGCCACAUCGACUCCUUCUGGAAGACUUCCAGGGAUGGUGACUCCACCACUUCCCUGGGCAGCCUGUUCCAAUGCUUAAAUAAGAUACAACUGAGCCUCAACCUGAUCCAUCUAAUUCAGGGUCUAAUUUCUGAUCAUUCAAUGUCAUUAUUAAAAAAUAACACUGAUUUCUAAUAGCAUUUGUAACCUGCAUUAGUGUAGCAGAGUAGCUAAUGAGUUCAUGCACACACAGUGUAUCAUCUUUAGGUUUCAGAUAUUAAGAGUUGUGUGCUGGACACGUGAAUAGUUUUGUGCAAAGUGAAUCUUAAAACUUCUGUGGGAAACUUUCAGAGGCUGUAAGAAUUUGAACAUAUCAAAGCAUCCUGAAUCCAUCUUUAUUAGAUGUCUUCAGAGCUGCUUCCCACUUUCAAACCCUCCCUAUAUCUCUACUUGCUCUUUCCCUCUGCAGAUGCUGAGAAGAAAGCAGAACCAGAAAUGUCAUUUGGCUUUUGCUGGAAAAACUCCUUAGGUUCUACUGCCCCACUUAGAGCUUUUAUUAGAACUUUUUGAACAACUUUUUUUCAUUCUACUACUAAGAAGCAGAACCUGCUGGUGUCAAACCACCAGAGAAAUGAUGGAAUGAACUAUUGUGGUUAAAUAUCAAUAUUAAAUAUAGUUCAUUACUUUUUUCCCCUUA